UGGUAAAAGCAUAAAUUGGCCGGCGGCUAGGGUUUCUGACCCUGCGACGGCCGUGAUAUCAUUUCGAAGUGUUUCCUGGAGGAUGUUUUGAGGCAAAUCUUUCGUCUCCGAUGUGAUAAUUUGAGGACUGACCAAAGUGGGACGUGUUAAGCGCAUAACUGAGCCAGAAGGUGCUCCGUUGGCUCCAAAACGUUCAUUCUGCAGACGAGGACGAACAAACACAAUAAUUUUCACACCGUAUUGUUUACUAAUCACUGAACAGCUGUCACUGCAACCUAGCCAGAUAACACUCCUUGUGCUGCCUCGUCUGGAUGGUCAAAUCUUUCUGAAUUUAGAGAAAGAGACAAGCGAAGCGAACUGAGGACAAAUACCAACAAAACGGGUCGUCGCCUUAGUUACACAUGUCUACGCGCUGCUAUUAGGUUGGCUUGACACAAUUUCGAAUGGAGAACUUCGUCGCCCUGUAGAUCAGCUACUCACGGACAUAUUAAUGAGAGAGGAUAGGCCACACAUUAGGGAACGUGUCAAUUCUGUUGCUAUAUUACCACUAUUCUAGAAUGACUGAGGAAUACCUUUAGAAGUAUAAUUAAAAAGUAAGCAAACUUCCUUCAGUUGCAGGGUUGAACAAGCAUAUUAAAUAUAAUAAUAAAAGUCAUACAAUCUUUUGGUUUUCUGACCUGA